rnacentral:rRNA from 1 species
CGAUCUCUUCGGAGUUGAGGGUAGUGGUGGAGCCGAUGAACCAGACUUGUAGUAGGUAAGCGAUGGGGUGACGCAGGAAGGUAGUCCAGCCCGGGCGGUGGUUGUCCCGGGGUAAGGGUGUAGGACGUUGUGUAGGCAAAUCCGCGCAACAUGUGUCUGAGACCUGAUGCCGAGCCGAUUGUGGUGAAGUGGAUGAUCCUAUGCUGUCGAGAAAAGCCUCUAGCGAGUUUCAUGGCGGCCCGUACCCUAAACCGACUCAGGUGGUCAGGUAGAGAAUACCGAGGCGUUCGGGUGAACUAUGGUUAAGGAACUCGGCAAAAUGCCCCCGUAACUUCGGGAGAAGGGGGGCCAUCACUGGUGAUAGCACUUGCUGCUUGAGCUGGGGGUGGCCGCAGAGACCAGCGAGAAGCGACUGUUUACUAAAAACACAGGUCCGUGCGAAGCCGUAAGGCGAUGUAUACGGACUGACGCCUGCCCGGUGCUGGAACGUUAAGGGGACCGG